CCUACGGGUGGCAGCAGUGGGGAAUAUUGGACAAUGGGCGAAAGCCUGAUCCAGCCAUGCCGCGUGUGUGAAGAAGGCCUUCGGGUUGUAAAGCACUUUCAGUGGGGAAGAAAGCCUUGGGGCUAAUACCCUCGAGGAAGGACAUCACCCACAGAAGAAGCACCGGCUAACUCCGUGCCAGCAGCCGCGGUAAUACGGAGGGUGCGAGCGUUAAUCGGAAUUACUGGGCGUAAAGCGCGCGUAGGCGGUCUGAUAAGCCGGUUGUGAAAGCCCCGGGCUCAACCUGGGAACGGCAUCCGGAACUGCCAGGCUAGAGUGCAGGAGAGGAAGGUAGAAUUCCCGGUGUAGCGGUGAAAUGCGUAGAGAUCGGGAGGAAUACCAGUGGCGAAGGCGGCCUUCUGGACUGACACUGACGCUGAGGUGCGAAAGCGUGGGUAGCAAACAGGAUUAGAUACCCUGGUAGUC
rnacentral:rRNA from 1 species